rnacentral:rRNA from 1 species
GAAAGUAAAUAAGGGCGCAUGGCGGAUGCCUUGGCUCUCGGAGGCGAUGAAGGACGUGAUAAGCUGCGAUAAGUCACGGGGAGGUGCAAAUAACCUUUGAUCCGUGAAUUUCCGAAUGGGACAACCCGUUACCUUGAAGAGGUGACAUCCAUCAAUGAUGGAGGCUAACGCAGGGAACUGAAACAUCUUAGUACCUGCAGGAAAAGAAAAUAACAAUGAUUCCCCCAGUAGUGGCGAGCGAACGGGGAAGAGCCCAAACCACACAUGUUACGGCAUGGAUGGGGUUGUAGGACCACGGCGUUGCAAGAACUCUUGUGAGAAGAACAGUCUGGAAAGACUGACCAGAGACGGUGACAGUCCGGUAUUCGAAGCAAGACGAAGCAUAGUGGUAUCCUGAGUAGCGCGGAACACGAGGAAUUCUGCGUGAAUCUGCCGGGACCAUCCGGUAAGGCUAAAUACUCCCGAGAGACCGAUAGUGGACCAGUACCGUGAGGGAAAGGUGAAAAGCACUUCGAACAGAAGAGUGAAAGAGUACCUGAAACCGUGCGCCUACAAGCGGUCGGAGCACGAAAGUGUGACGGCGUGCCUUUUGCAUAAUGAACCUACGAGUUACCGUAUCUGGCAAGGUUAAGGGUCACGAGACCUGCAGCCGAAGCGAAAGCGAGUCUGAAGAGGGCGUCGAGUCAGUUGCGGUAGACGCGAAACCAAGUGAUCUACCCUUGGCCAGGAUGAAGUCUGGGUAACACCAGAUGGAGGUCCGCACCAAUAAGCGUUGAAAAGCUUCUGGAUGAGCUGAGGGUAGGGGUGAAAGGCUAAUCAAACUUGGAGAUAGCUCGUACUCCCCGAAAUGCAUUUAGGUGCAGCCUCGCGGGUUACUGAUGUGAGGUAGAGCGACUGAUUGGAUGCGAGGGCUUCACCGCCUAUCAAGUCCUGACAAACUCCGAAUGCGCAUCAGUUUUACCGCGGGAGUGAGGGCAUGGGUGCUAAGGUCCGUGCCCGAGAGGAGAAGAAUCCGGACCACCGGCUAAGGUCCCGAAAUGACAGCUAAGUUAAACUAACGAAGUCUGAUUGCUAAGACAGCUAGGAUGUUGGCUUGGAAGCAGCCAUUCAUUUAAAGAGUGCGUAACAGCUCACUAGUCGAGGAAUCGGGCGUGGAUAAUAAUCGGGUAUAAGCUGUCUACCGAAGCCGUGGAACCAGCAAUGGUUGGUAGGGGAGCAUUCCAUUCGGCGUCGAAGGCGUACCGCGAGGUACUCUGGAGCGUAUGGAAAAGCAAAUGUAGGUAUAAGUAACGAUAAAGGGGGUGAGAAACCCCCUCGCCGAAAGACUAAGGUUUCCUGAUCAACGCUAAUCGGAUCAGGGUAAGUCGGGUCCUAAGGUUCAGCCGAACGGCGAGACCGAUGGCAGAAACGGUUAAUAUUCCGUUACUACCUUUGAGGGUGACGUGGGGACGCAGGAGUGACACCGCCGCCGGCUGACGGAAUAGCCGGUUAAAGAGUGUAGACGUUGAUUUCCGCAGGCAAAUCCACGGAAAGAGUCGAACUUGACAGUAUGGAACGUCCUUCGGGACAAUCCAAUAGUGCGGGUAAGCAGACUGCCGAGAAAAUCCGCUAAACAUAACUUCAGAGGUACCCGUACCGCAAACGGACACACGUAGUCGGGUUGAAUAUACUAAGGCGCUUGAGUGAAUCACGGUUAAGGAACUAGGCAAACUGACCCUGUAACUUCGGGAUAAAGGGUCCCUACCCAGAAAUGGGAGGGCGCAGAGAAUAGGUCCAGGCAACUGUUUAACAAAAACACAGGGCUGUGCCAAUAUGAAAGUAGACGUAUACAGCCUGACACCUGCCCGGUGCUGGAAGGUUAAGAGGAGAUGUCAUCGCAAGAGAAGCAUUGAAUUGAAGCCCCAGUAAACGGCGGCCGUAACUAUAACGGUCCUAAGGUAGCGAAAUUCCUUGUCGGGU